rnacentral:rRNA from 1 species
UACGUAGGGGGCAAGCGUUGUCCGGAUUUAUUGGGCGUAAAGAGCGUGUAGGCGGUUCGGUAGGUCCGUUGGGAAAACUCGAGGCUCAACCUCGAGACGCCGAUGGAAACCCUCGAACUAGAGUCCGGAAGAGGAGAAUGGAAUUCCUGGUGUAGCGGUGAAAUGCGCAGAUAUCAGGAAGAACACCCGUGGCUAAGGCGGUUCUCUAGGCCUUACCUGACGCUGAGGAGCGAAAGCGUGGGGAGCGAACAGG